rnacentral:rRNA from 1 species
UCGCCUACGGGGGGCAGCAGUAGGGAAUCUUCCACAAUGGACGAAAGUCUGAUGGAGCAACGCCGCGUGAGUGAAGAAGGGUUUCGGCUCGUAAAGCUCUGUUGGUAGUGAAGAAAGAUAGAGGUAGUAACUGGCCUUUAUUUGACGGUAAUUACUUAGAAAGUCACGACUAACUACGUUCCAGCAGCCGCGGGAAUACGUAGGUGGCAAGCGUUGUCCGGGUUUAUUGGGCGGAAA